rnacentral:lncRNA from 10 species
CAGCAGCAGCAGGAGCUAGGAAUCUCUUAAUUGCUUUGUGCUUGUCAAGAUUAUGCAACUUUCCAGAAUUCAAGAUCAUGGAAAACUGCCAGAAGGAAAUGGGUCUUCUCCUCUCCCAAAUGGUCCCAUAACUAGUCUGGCCACCUUGAGCCAUCCAAGAGGAGAAUGUGGUCAGGGACCGUGACUCAGCUUAAGAAGCUACAUUUAUAUCUAUAUCUACACACAUGUUCUACCGACUAUGACCACACCACCAUGGCCCAUGCCCAUACACCCACGUGUGAACCAAGAGGCAGGUAAUGUGCCGAUGACGACGUCUACAAGGUUUGAGGGAGGCACCUCUCAAAACCGAAUCAUCAUGCUUGCAAACUACAAAAGACUCUUUCUUGGUACUUUUCUUGUUUGAAAGUACCUACAUUUUGGGGCUCAAGACUCAGAAAGUCAGAGUGGAGAGUUGGGUGCCAUGCUCCAUUCUGCUUUUCCUGAAGUGCCUCAAAUGCUAGGCAGAGUCCCUGCACUCUCCGUGAUAGGAAUCUCCUCUGUGGCCAAAAUUGGGCCUCCGUUUUUUUCACCGCAGGAAUAUACAUGUCCUCAUGGCCGUCUCCUGCCUGGGCAGCAGCGAAGCCUCCCCAGACUGCUCUGCCCUGUGGAAGAAAAGGCCUAGGUCCUGCUGUUUUCCCAGUCUCCUUUCCUGGGAGGUGGCCAUGACUCGCUCCCAUUAACCUGGGCAGAGGCUGUUUCCCAUCUCUUCCUGCAUGAGUUACUUCAUGGAGCCUCGGAGGAGGAGCCCUGGACUCUGCUCGCCUGGGAUUCCUGCUGUUCUACCCACUGUCCACCCAGAAGCUCCCUUCCCCGGGUCUGACAUGACUUUCUCUUCUGAGCCAGGCCCAGCAGGAAGGAUGCGUUUGUGUUCGGCCCUGCAUUCCUGCAGUGUCCCUCGGGUGUGUGGCUGGAAAUGAUUUGUGUAAGGCACUCAGCCAGCCUCCCUUUUAAUCACUCCCAUACUCACAGACAGAGGGAAUCCCAGCCCCUCACCCAGGAGAGGGAAGGAACCUCCUUCAUUUUGACAGGGCCUCCCUCCGUGGUGGGGUAAGCAGUGAUUCUGGUCUCCAGGAAAGAUGCUUCCAAGAGCCUCUUUCUCUGAGGCCUAAUUAUGAAAUCGAUAUCUUCAGGAACCCCUCCUCCUUCCCUGGAGCUUCUGCAGGCAGACACUGCCCAGAUAAUGUUCAAACAUGCAUUGACCCGGCAGGGCUUCCUGAGCACCACUCUGGCUGGGGAGGAGGAUGGGAUCAGCUGGGCCUGGAAGAAUGGGCAGGGUUUGCUUAGGACGUUUCGGGGAGGCAGAUGGUGUAAGCUGGGGAUGGGGUGAGGAAGGGAGAGAGUUAGGGGCAGCUUGAGGGAAAUAGGGGUGUUUGUUGGGGAAGAGUGAGUGAUGACUGGUCAGAGUCCCAACAGCAAACAGAGGACACAAUUAAAAUGGGAUAGUUCCAGGAUAGUUUAUUUGCAUAGGUGUGAUCACAGGGAAACCACAAAGAAUAGUGCAGUUAACUGGUCUUAGUAAGAGCCAAGGUGUUAUCACCUCUAGGCACAAAGAGACAAAGACCAGAACAGAGAGUCCUGCAGAGCAACUUGACUUGGAAGGAACAGAAGACUUCAGUCCAGGGGCACAGUAAGCUGGAGGCAACCUUGCAGGGAGAGACCCAGGCAGAGCUGGAUUUGUAGUGACGCUGGCGAAGUUUAAGCUUCAGGAUCCCACGCUUGCACAGAUUGGGUUCCCUGGAGGCUGACCAUGAAAUGGAAAGUUGUGGGCCGGAGGCUUACCGUGGAGUGCUCUCAGGAGACAUAUGUGUGAGGAAAUGAGGAUGGCAGGAUUGGGAGAAGCUGAUCAGAAAUAUGGCCUCAGCCAAUCUGAUAUCCCCAGCAGCUGAAGGAUGGCUGUGUUGGCCUGAAGAGGGGAUCUGUGCGGUGGCCACAGCUCCCUCCACAGAUGAUAACGUAGGUCUCAUGAUACAUCACUACAAUGGGGACACCAAAGACAAACUGACUUCUCAUGUACAUCACUGCAAUGGGGACACCAAAGACAAAUGGACUUCUCAUGAUACAUCACUACAAUGGGGACACCAAAGACAAACUGACUUAUAAGUGUCAU